UUAAAAAAAAAAUAAAAUGGGAACAAAGCAGAGAAGGCUAGCACGGCCCCCGCACAAGGAUGACACACAAACUCAUGAAGGUUCCAUAUUUUU
rnacentral:snRNA from 1 species